rnacentral:rRNA from 1 species
GAUGAACGCUGGCGGCGUGCCUAAUACAUGCAAGUCGAGCGAACAGACGAGGAGCUUGCUCCUCUGACGUUAGCGGCGGACGGGUGAGUAACACGUGGAUAACCUACCUAUAAGACUGGGAUAACUUCGGGAAACCGGAGCUAAUACCGGAUAAUAUAUUGAACCGCAUGGUUCAAUAGUGAAAGACGGUUUUGCUGUCACUUAUAGAUGGAUCCGCGCCGCAUUAGAUAGUUGGUAAGGUAACGGCUUACCAAGGCAACGAUGCGUAGCCGACCUGAGAGGGUGAUCGGCCACACUGGAACUGAGACACGGUCCAGACUCCUACGGGAGGCAGCAGUAGGGAAUCUGCCGCAAUGGGCGAAAGCCUGACGGAGCAACGCCGCGUGAGUGAUGAAGGUCUUCGGAUCGUAAAACUCUGUUAUUAGGGAAGAACAAAUGUGUAAGUAACUAUGCACGUCUUGACGGUACCUAAUCAGAAAGCCACGGCUAACUACGUG